UACGUAGGGGGCAAGCGUUGUCCGGAUUUAUUGGGCGUAAAGAGCGUGUAGGCGGCUAGAUAGGUCCGUUGUGAAAACUCGAGGCUCAACCUCGAGACGUCGAUGGAAACCAUCUGGCUAGAGUCCGGAAGAGGAGAGUGGAAUUCCUGGUAUAGCGGUGAAAUGCGCAGAUAUCAGGAAGAACACCCGUGGCGAAGGCGGCUCUCUGGUACGUGACUGACGCUGAGACGCGAAAGCGUGGGGAGCAAACAGG
rnacentral:rRNA from 1 species